rnacentral:rRNA from 1 species
UACGUAGGGUGCGAGCGUUAAUCGGAAUUACUGGGCGUAAAGCGUGCGCAGGCGGUUUUGUAAGUCAGAUGUGAAAGCCCCGGGCUCAACCUGGGAACUGCGUUUGAAACUACAAGGCUAGAGUGUAGCAGAGGGGGUAGAAUUCCACGUGUAGCAGUGAAAUGCGUAGAGAUGUGGAGGAAUACCAAUGGCGAAGGCAGCCCCCUGGGUCAAGAUUGACGCUCAUGCACGAAAGCGUGGGGAGCAAACAGG